GGGACAUGCAUUGCAAUCCUAUGCUUGCCACACUGCUGCAGUAUACUUGUUUUGCAGAGCUCUGUAGCAGGCUAGUCAAAGCUGUGACUAACCAGACCCUUGGAUACGUACUCUAAUCUCUGGCCUUUAUUUUUACAAUGAAUUUGAUUCAUUCUUUGAUUGCAUAUUUUUUCUGAUUUGCGAGAAGCUUCAUGCUCUGUGUUUGGAUGCUGACUGCAAUACAGCAAUAGUCUUUGAUACGCUUUACACUCUCAAAUUAAAGCUUAAAAACCUCCAAGGAAGGAAAGGAGGCCAGAUUGGAGGGGGAGGAGGUGAGAGGAAGGAAGCGGGUGGAGAAAACCACUAUAUUCCCAAGAUGCAAGGAAAGUUGAAAAGUAGAAGAAAAAAUAUAUUAAAUCAGUGUAAACUAAGAGAGUCACAGUGUACACUCUGUGGGGAGCCUGAAGAGUCCAAAGAGCACUUCUCAGAUCGUGCUAGCUUUCUAAACUAAGAUCCAGGUGAAAACUAAGGAAACACUUUGCAAGGAGAGCUGAUUUCAUCUAUGUGCACAUCAUACAGCUGAACGCCAUGAGACAUGAGCUGAACGCCACGACAUUUUUCUCAAAGAAGUGAAGUCCAAGUAUUCGUUGACCUGAUGUAAACUUUAAAUGUCCUUUGGUGUAUUCAUGUUAAAUGACAAAAUGAUCUGUUUUAGCUUCAGUGAUUUACAAGCCCUGCGAGCUCUGUCCAAUUAUUCUUUGAAAUAACGUGAAGCAGCAUUAAUACCAGACGGCAUUGCAUACAUUUGUAGUUUCUCUAGUUUUUGAAUUAUCAAUUUCAAGUCCAGUACCAUUUACGAGAGAUUUCUUCUGCUUUCAUUUUCAGCCCUACAGUCUUUUAGUCCUUAUGCUGGUGAUAUGCUUUUCAUCUAGAAAAUCAGUUUUUAGGUUUUGUUUUGUUUAUUUGCUUCUUCUUUCUUUCCUCUUUUUUUUUUUUUUUCUUUUCCUUUUUUCUUUGCCUAUCUUCUUGUAUGUAGAAGCAUUCCUCCAGCACUGAUCAGUCUCUCUCCUAUACCAGUUUUGGAGAUUUCAAAAUGUAUGCAUAUCCAGUGCCAAAUUGCUAUCUUUUCCUUCUGAAAAGGCAUUAUCUGUUGGCAAACUCUUGAGCAUGCCUUGUGGAAAUGCUUCAUUGCCUGCACUUUUAAUGAUUAUUUCUUUAAUAAAGUACUUAAG
rnacentral:lncRNA from 1 species